CGAAGUGGACGAGGAGGAGGACGAGGAUGACGAGGAGAACAAGGUGGGCGAGGAGAACGAUGAUUUGUGCACGUAUUCGAGGUAAAGCCCGAGGGGGUAGGCGGCGAUAGAAGGUGGUCGGAGGAGAAGGAGAAGGCGAAUUGGAUGACGAAGAGGACGAAGAGGACUAAGACGAAGAGGAGUACUGGGAUGAGAAGAUGGAGGAGUAGGACGAGGUGGACGAGAAGAACAGAGGUGGUCGGAAGUAGUGUAAGUAGGAAUUCAAAAUGCCCGCGAAGUUUUGCUGGACACAGCCAUCCCGAUCCAGGCGUCAGGUGGGAGAAACGGUUGAACGUUUUGAAGACUCUGCGGAAAGACGCCAACCCGUACGGCCCGACAAUUAUAA